rnacentral:rRNA from 1 species
GAUGAACGCUAGCUACAGGCUUAACACAUGCAAGUCGAGGGGUAGCAGGAUUAAGCUUGCUUAAUUGCUGACGACCGGCGCACGGGUGCGUAACGCGUAUGCAACCUACCUUAUACUGGGGUAUAGCCCGGAGAAAUUCGGAUUAAUCCCCCAUAGUACUAAUGAAUCGCAUGGUUUAUUAGUUAAAGCAUUGCGGUAUAAGAUGGGCAUGCGUCCUAUUAGCUAGAUGGUGAGGUAACGGCUCACCAUGGCUACGAUAGGUAGGGGGCCUGAGAGGGUGGUCCCCCACACUGGUACUGAGACACGGACCAGACUCCUACGGGAGGCAGCAGUGAGGAAUAUUGGUCAAUGGGCGCAAGCUUGAACCAGCCAUGCCGCGUGCAGGAAGAAUGCCCUAUGGGUUGUAAACUGCUUUUAUUUGGGAAUAAACCUCUUUACGUGUAGAGAGCUGAAGGUACCAAAUGAAUAAGCACCAGCUAACUCCGUGCCAGCAGCCGCGGUAA